GGAGUUGUGGAUCGGUGGUAGAGCACUUGCCUAGCAUGUAUGAGGCACUGGGUUCAAUCCUCAGCAGCACAU
rnacentral:tRNA from 1 species